rnacentral:rRNA from 1 species
GAUGAACGCUGGCGGCGUGCCUAAUACAUGCAAGUCGAGCGAAUGGAUUAAGAGCUUGCUCUUAUGAAGUUAGCGGCGGACGGGUGAGUAACACGUGGGUAACCUGCCCAUAAGACUGGGAUAACUCCGGGAAACCGGGGCUAAUACCGGAUAAUAUUUUGAACUGCAUGGUUCAAAAUUGAAAGGCGGCUUCGGCUGUCGCUUAUGGAUGGACCCGCGUCGCAUUAGCUAGUUGGUGAGGUAACGGCUCACCAAGGCAACGAUGCGUAGCCGACCUGAGAGGGUGUGCGGCCACACUGGGACUGAGACACGGCCCAGACUCCUACGGGAGGCAGCAGUAGGGAAUCUUCCGCAAUGGACGAAAGUCUGACGGAGCAACGCCGCGUGAGUGAUGAAGGCUUUCGGGUCGUAAAACUCUGUUGUUAGGGAAGAUCAAGUGCUAGUUGAAUAAGCUGGCACCUUGACGGUACCUAACCAGAAAGCCACGGCUAACUACGUGCCAGCCGCCGCGGUAA